rnacentral:misc_RNA from 1 species
AAGAACAGAAAUAACUCCAAAGAAUGGGCCAAUAGAUCCUGAAGAACUCCAAGCACUAUUGCUACUAGUUGAAACAGCCUGUGGAAUAUUACUAGGUUGUAUCUCCCCAGCGGCAGGCGGUUGCUGGCCAGGCAACGAUGUAACGACGGCGGAUGCCAUGAAGAAGAAGAAGAAGAGUUUGUUGUAAUUAAAAUGUCCUGACCAAAAUGAAUAUGAACAUAAG